rnacentral:rRNA from 1 species
UACGGAGGAUGCAAGCGUUAUCCGGAUUGAUUGGGCGUAAAGCGUCUGUAGGUGGUUACGCUAGUCGGCUGUUAAAGAUCAGGGCUGAACCCUGAGCAAGCAGUCGAAACUGCGUGGCUGGAGUACGGUAGGGGCAGAGGGAAUUCCCGGUGUAGCGGUGAAAUGCGUAGAUAUCGGGAAGAACACCAAAGGCGAAAGCGCUACUGCUGGGCCGAAACUGACACUGAGAGAACGAAAGCUAGGGGAGCGAAUGGGAUUAGGAAACCCGGGUAGUCCGAGAACCCAAGGUCUACCGUGACUAACG